AAAUCAAAUUUAAAAUAAUAUCUGUUUGAUUCAAUUGAGUAUUUUGAUUCAUUUUUUGUGCUCUUUUCAACUAUCACAAUGUUAAUUAUGUAGUAGGUGGUAAACAAAAUAGAGGUUGCAUUUUUUAAAAAUAUGUCAAGGGUAGAUCUAUUUUUCACCACUACUGUAGAUCUAAAUACUUUCAAUGUUGUCUAGAUGUUUUCCCCCAAAAUUUAUAGAAUGUAGCCUAAUGAAUUUAGAUGUUUUAUUUUUUCAUCCAGAUAUUUUUCCAUAGAAUUUACAAUAGUAUGUAGCCUAUGAGAUUCAAAUAUCUUCAUUUCAUUUUUUUGAUAUUUUAUUUCAAUUAGAGUUGGCAAUACUGAAACAUACACUGGCCAUGUCAUUGUUGUGAAUGUCCUAUCUUAUUUGAGUUCAAAAUUCAAAGUUCUAGUCAGCAUUUGUGAUUAUUUUGUACUUUACGUUAAAUUAAUCUAAUCUCCAAAAUGCCAAAAAGAAACUGUUUUUACUGAUAAAUUAAAAAAGGAUUAUCCAUUUUUUGAACAAGUUUGUGAUCAUCUUGACAAAGGAAAUGUACUUUUCAGAAUUUUCAGUAACUCAUGGUGGAUGCUGGGACAUUAAAAAUCACUUGAUAUAUGUGAAACACAAGGUACUUAUCCCAUUAGGCUUUAUUUUCUGUUGUGACUAUUUUCUCAAAAUUGUCCCGGUUUGAGAAAAAAAUAUCAUGGUGCAAAACUAAUAACGCAAUGUAGAUAAAAUCUUUACUGCAUUAUUACAAGAACUAGUACAUAAGAAUAUUUCCACUAAGCAGUUUUCAAUUCAAAACUUUUACCAGAUUGAGAUUUUUUUUUCUAGUUUUUAUGCUUUUUUUCUUCUAUAAUUUUCAUUUCAUAAAAAAUUGUUUAUACUUAAGUUAAUUAAACUAAUAUUUGAAGAACCCAUUGGCCUUUCAAUUGCAUAUGGAUUAUAACUACUCCAAUCAGCAAAGCCAUUGUAUACUAGUAUAUAAAAUUAAUUUUGAAUUUGAUAGUAUAAAUUUAAAUUGCUCUCAUCACUUUUUUAAAAAAAUAUAUGGGUAACAUUUAACUUAAGUUACUCUGUACAAUAUGUACUAAUAGAAGACAAUACAAAAUUUUGUACAUUAAUGAUUUGUAAUUACUAAAAAUAAAAUAAAUAACAUAUAAAUUUAUAACAUAUA